rnacentral:rRNA from 1 species
AUUGAACGCUGGCGGCAGGCCUAACACAUGCAAGUCGAACGAGUGGCGGACGGGUGAGUAAUGUAUGGGAAACUGCCUGAUGGAGGGGGAUAACUACUGGAAACGGUAGCUAAUACCGCCUACCAUCGGAUGUGCCCACAUGGGAUUAGCUAGUGGGGGGGGUAAAGGCUCACCAAGGCGACGAUCCCUAGCUGGUCUGAGAGGAUGACCAGCCACACUGGGACUGAGACACGGUCCAGACUCCUACGGUAGGCAGCAGUGGGGAAUAUUGCACAAUGGGCGCAAGCCUGAUGCAGCCAUGCCGCGUGAAUGAAGAAGGCCUUCGGGUUGUAAAGUACUUUCAGUGGGGAGGCGUUAAAGGAAGAAGAAGCACCGGCUAACUCCGUGCCAGCAGCCGCGGUAAUAG